GUGUUAUAUGAAAGGAGAGAAGGUUAGCACUCCCCCUUGAUAAGGAUGGAAGAGGUCCUAGUGGCCUUUACAACACACAUACAGUUAAGGCACUGCCACCUACUCUGUGGCAUCUAACCAUAUUUUUCC
ensembl:snRNA